rnacentral:rRNA from 1 species
UACGUAGGGUGCGAGCGUUGUCCGGAAUUAUUGGGCGUAAAGAGCUCGUAGGCGGUUUGUCGCGUCGGCUGUGAAAACUCGGGGCUCAACCCCGAGCCUGCAGUCGAUACGGGCAGACUAGAGUGCUGUAGGGGAGACUGGAAUUCCUGGUGUAGCGGUGAAAUGCGCAGAUAUCAGGAGGAACACCGGUGGCGAAGGCGGGUCUCUGGGCAGUAACUGACGCUGAGGAGCGAAAGCGUGGGGAGCGAACAGG